rnacentral:rRNA from 1 species
GAAGGGCCCGAGCGUUGCGCGGACUCAUUGGGCUUAAAGCGUACGUAGGCGGGCUUACAGGCGUUUUGUGAAAGCCCUCGGGCUCAACCGAGGAAUUGCUUGACGAACCGUAAGUCUUGAGGCAAGUAGGGGCUGUCGGAACGAUAGGUGGAGUGGUGAAAUGCGUUGAUAUCUAUCGGAACGCCGAAGGAGAAAUCAGGCAGCUGGGCUUGUCCUGUCGCUGAGGUACGAAAGCGUGGGUAGCGAACGGGAUUAGAUACCCCGGUAGUCCACGCCGUAAACGAUGUGCACUAGAUCGAGGGGAUUCUGACAUCGCUCUCGGUCGAAGCGAAAGUGUUAAGUGCACCGCCUGGGGAGUACGGUCGCAAGGCUA